UGGGUCAUUCCAUUUAGUUGGGGGCCAGCUGUGUCGUGGGUGGUUUUUGUUUUGAGUUCAUCCGUGUGGUUAUUUAGAGUGGUGUGGACAUUUUUCUUAAUCAUAAUAUUUUUAAGUAAGGAUCAAAGUAUAUCACCGGAAGAAAAAAAGAAGAAAAAAGAUAGAUAAAUAAAGAAAAAAUAAUGAAAACAUGUGACGUGUCUCCAACUUUUUUGUGGUAUUUUUGGUACAUGAAAAGUAUUGUUACUAUAAAAUCCUACAAAGAUCUUGGAAAACAGUUGAGAGCAAUAACUUAGUGAUUAAAUGUAUCUUCGAUAUUGAAGUAAAACAUCGUGCGGUUCCCGUUUUUCGAUCGUAAUGACAACAUGUUUUUUUAGUGCAAGCAAAAUUUUGUUCACAACGUAAAUGUUCGUGUCGCUAGUUUUACGUAUGAAACGGACCUUUUCAAGCUUAAAUAUUUUCGAAUAAAAUGUCAACAAACCAGAAGAAAUAAUACCUAUAAUAUCAGGCCAAAUAAGGUCUUAGAAUUAAAUAUGAAUCACAUGGGUAUCGCAAUAAAAUGAGUCAAAAUAUUACUGCUACUCUCUUAGUUCACAAAUUGGUGUCUCGCCAAAAUUUUACGAUGUGAAUUUUGAGAUCGUUCUCCCGACACGAUCUGCGCCUUGAUGAACAAGCAAAUCAGUUGAUAAAGAGCCCUGAUGAAGCUAUCGCAUGAAACUACCAUGCGGUUCUUGCCGCGAUGAUACUCCGAUUAUUUUUUAGACCAAAAUUGUUUCGUGUCGCCCAUGUUUACGUUGUGAACAUUGCGGACGAAUGUUACGUUGUGAGAGGCUUUCUAAUCAGAAUUCAAAGUGUCAUCAUCUUCCCAUUCAAGUUCGAUUCAUGCAACAAAGACAGAGGGACCUGUACGACUUUUCAUUUGAGUCAGAAGCAACCCAUCCUAUGUCUGAUAUUUUUACAGUUAUGAUCGACCCCCUCCCAGUAUUUGAUGGCAGAGCUAGCUGUUACAAGUUCACCAAUAUGAUGAACUCGAUUGAAUUCAUUUUCAAACUUUAUCCUGAAAUAAAAAAGCAUAAAGUAACGUAAAGGAUCACAUCAAUGUGAAAAAGUGAUGAAAUAUAAAACAAUUAUAAAACAAAAUCACUCAAUUCUGUUUCCUAUAUCGGUAAAAAUAGAAAGCUUCUGAAUUCUGUCUUGACCCGUUUAUCAUUUUUCCCAUAAUUUUAUUGUAUGACUAAAAUGCUGGAUUACCACAAGGAAUCUUAAACAUUUGAAUGUUAAUAAUUGUUAGGUGUGUGACCCAAUUGUCCACAUGAUGCUUUCUAAUUCCACAUGAAGGAAGGAGCGUCAUAAAAAUAGUCUUCUAAAAUUUGAGUGAAAUUACUCUACUGGUUCUAAUAUGUUAGAAGCAAAAGGUUCCUUAAAUUUUCCCCAUCAAACAGAACACAAACUUACAGUGUGGUUGGGAGGGGGGGGGGGGGGUAAUUUACUACUUUAUUGCCAAUAUCUUCAAAAGGGAACAUCUCUCAGGGGCCAGGGUUAACAUUUUGCGUGGGUAAUGAGAAAAAUAUCGGGUCACACACCUUUAAGCAACAAAUCCACAGGACUAGCACAGGGUAUCAAAAUUGAACGAGUUCCUUUAAGUAUUUUAAAACUAGUUUCAAUUUAGUAAUGUUGAUCGUCAACUUUUUGCCCUGCUGUACGUGGGCUGUCAAAAUUUUAAGUUUGCAUAAAUUAUAUUGUUUGUUUAAAAAAUCACUGUGCUAGAUUCAAUCCCUUUAUACAGAAAUCAGUAGGAACUUGAACAAAAAACUAAAGUGGAGGUUUACCUAAAUUUGCCCAUCAAUUAUCAUCCUUUUUCUUUUGAAGGGUGAACAAUUGUUUUCAAGAUUCCUAUUGAUUCCUGCAUUGCAUGAAUGGUUAUGAGACUGUUUGUAUCAGGGACCUUCUGCGACUGAUCACAGAAAAGCAAAUGCUUACAUCAGCUGCGAGAUACAAAUUUCAGUCUAAACAGGAACAAGAAAUAUGAUCAAUUGAAAAGGUUAUUAGUAUGAACGUUAUAUUCUCAAUAUAAAACUUUUUUGUAAUGAUUGUUGUUGCAAAGUUGGCUCACUUGGCUGAUGGCGUCCCUCCAAUCAAUGAUGACGUCAAUAAACACCAUAAUGUAAUAAUUAAACAGGAAGAAUUGAAGAUGGAAAAUUAAAGUCAACAAUAAACAAAUGCUUUUAUCAGCUGCGAGAUACAAAUUUCUGUCUGAACAGGAACAAGAAUUAUGAUCAACUGAAAAGGUUAAUGUUAGUAUGAACGUUAUAUUCUCAAUAUAAAACUUUUUUUUAAUGAUUGUUGUUGCUAUAAAGUUAGUUGAUGGCGCCCCUCCAAUGAAUGAUGAGGUCUCUAAACAUUUAACAUAAUGUUAAUUAAAACAUGAAGAUGGAGAACUGAAGUCAACAUUGAAAUAAAUCAACACUAAAUAAAA
rnacentral:lncRNA from 1 species